rnacentral:rRNA from 1 species
UACGGAGGGUGCAAGCGUUGUUCGGAAUUAUUGGGCGUAAAGGGCAGGUAGGUGGUCUUAUAAGUCUGCUGUGAAAUCCCCGAGCUUAACUUGGGAAGUGCGGCAGAUACUGUAGGACUAGAGUACUGGAGGGGUUCGUGGAAUUCCCGGUGUAGCGGUGAGAUGCGUAGAUAUCAGGAGGAACACCGAUGGCGAAGGCAGGUCUCUGGGCCACUACUGACGCUGAGAAGCGAAAGCAUGGGGAGCGAACAGG